GCAAUCUGCCUGCCUUGACCUCCCAGAGUGCUAGGAUUACAGGCGUGAGCCAGCGCACCCAACCAGUUAACUGCUUUUAUAGGGAUCAGAUGUGCUCUUGUUUUAUCUUUCACGCAAGACAUAAUUUUAUUUGUGUUGAGUACAUACCUGCAAUGUUCAGUUCAAUGGAUUCCAAAGUUGGGAUACUCUAAAACACAAUGUUUCCCCGUAAACAACAGCUGAAAACACAGGCACAUUUCCACUGCAUGUUUUGUGUAGACUAAGCUUCUGUAAACAAAGGAGAGACUUGAGUGUAAAUAGAGUGUUGCCUGGUCUCACAUCAGGCCCAGAGGAUAUAUGAUGGAAGGUGUCAAGGUAUGAGGCUCAGGUAUGAUUCUGCAAGCCUUUGAAGUAGGCCCUGAGUUUCCUUACAGGGGAGCUGCACCUAGUUAUACUUGUAGCCCCCCACUCCAAGUCUAGCACAGAGAGGGAGGAGGGAAGUAUUCUGGAAUGAAGGAUGAGCUCAGGGGGUCCUUUCCUCCUACAGAACUUUAUCCUCACUUUCUCUCACCUUCCCUCUCUCUCCCUCCUCUUUCCUCCUCUCUCACAUCUUGGCAGAUGUUUAGCUAAAUGAGCUUUGUAACAGAAGCUCUUCUCACCUCCCAGCCCCUCCUCCACUCCACCCUCCACUCCCAGCACACAGGGCUUUGCCCUUAGACGACCUUUGUAAUUUUUGUUUGUUUUGCUUUGUUUCAAUAUAUUUCUAAAGUGUUUUUUUUUUCCCCCGUGUGCUGGUGAAUCACAUCUGAACUUUAAUCAGUGGCUUAAAUUAAAAUGAGAGGGCCCGAAAUGGAAGUGCUGAAGGCAAAUUGGCCCCUGCGGGUCCAAGGAAAAUAAUCCUUUCUCCUCUGUGGUGUCAACUGGAGUUCUGGCUGGGCACAUUCUGGUCAGAAUUCUUGGUGUGUGUUGGGGGGUGUGUGUUGUGUUUUUGUUUUUCAGGGAAACCAGGAUGGUGGAGCAGGGUAACCUGGAAUAACAGAGAGAGUUAGGCUGUUACAGAAUAUUCCCACCAUCUGUGCUUCACUUAGGACUAGAGACCUAGUGAAAACUAAAGAGGACAAAGAAACUCUCCUAAAAAGCAAUUUCUGAAGAAACUAUUAGCUGCCCUUGGCUGCCCAAGGCCCUCACCAUGACGCUCCCCAUGGACCUGUCCUGCAAGAAACACCCUGGGAAGAUUAUUUGCAACCCCCAGCUUCACCCACCUCUCCUGCCACCCCCAUUGCCUACCUGCCCGUCUACUGCCCCACGUCCAUGAAGGCCAGGUCCAUGCAAAUCAGGCACCUUAGGCAAGGUCCACAUCCAACAUGGGCUGCCCAGCUGAAGGUGGGCGGCCGUGUGGCCUCAGCCCUGCACCCUGCAGAGGACUGCAGUGGCAGCUGGGGGGCUAAGUACUCAGAACCAGCGGAUUACAGAAGUUGAGGCCAUAAAAUGUGAAAAACAAAGGACCAGAGGAAUCACAAAUGCAGGGGCCAGAAGAGCCAGGUGAGACCAGCUUCGCCUGAGUGAGCACUUGGCAGGCAUGGGAUGUUGGGGGACCUGACCAGACCAGCCACUCUGCAGUGAAGACCAAGAAGGACAUGAGGACAGCCCCCAGCCCCUCCACCCCAUGAGGACAUGUGCACAUCCCUUUCCAUCCAGAUGCUUCUACAGCCAGAAACCAUCUGUUAGGGGAUGACUUUGUCCCUCUCCUCCCCAGUUCACAAGUUGAAUUCCUAAUCUCUCGUACCUGGGGAGGUGACCUUCUUUGGAAGCAGAGUCAUUGCAGAUAGAAUGAGUUAAGAUGAAAUCAGACUGGAGUAGGGUGGGCCCCUGAUCCAAUAUGAUUUGUGUCCUUAUAAAAAGGGGAUAUAUGGAGACAGAUGAAGACAGGGAAAACACCACGUGAAGAGAGACAGGAGGAAGAUGUCAUCUACAAGCCAAGGAGAGAGGCCUGGAACAGAUCCUUCCCUGCCAGCCCUCAGAAGGAACCAACCCUGCUGACACCUUGAACUCAGAUUUCUAGUUUCCAGAACAGACAAUAAAUUCCUGUUGUGUAAGCCACUCAGUUUGUGGCACUUUGUUAUGGCAGGGCUAGCACAUGAAUACACCAUCUUUGCUACUAAUCAAAGGAGGGGACAGAGAAAUCUGAAAGACUCAAUCAUUAUUCAAGAGGGGCUAGUAUAACCUGGAAGAGACAGUGCUAAACAAAGAUAAUGAGUUCUCCUGAGCUACCUUUCGUAGACAAGUGGAAGUCCUCUGCCCCCACCAAAGGGCACAGAGGCCUUGGAGGAAGAUAAGAAUAGUCAGAGGUGAAAAGGGCUGGCCUUUUUUGCACAUCCAAGUGUAGUGAAUAAAAUCUUAGCCCCACUAUAUUCCAGUCUCUCAGAGAUACAGGCCCGUCCCCACCUGCUCUAUCAGUGUGACCAGAGCCCACCCACCUGGAUAUUUUAUUAUUUCCAGGGUGGUCGCUCUUUUAUAGUAGACAGUGGUCUCCUCACUCACUGCCUGAGUUCUAGGAGCAGGUUCCUACAUUGUACGCAAGAGCAGUGGUGUGCUGGAGCCAGUUUGUACCAUCUUACAAGAGCUAGCUGUUAAAUUUUUGGGAAUUUUGUGAGUUAGUGUUUAAACAUAACCUAUCCAUUAUUAAAAACCAAAUUAUAAGCAUAACCAAAUGAAUGAUAUUUUUAAAAAAGUAAUGCUCAAAAAUCAUCACUUCAUAGUUAUUAUAGUUUACCAUUACCUAUGCUUUUCAGGUUAUUUAUAUCUAUUACAUCUGUAUGAUGGAAAUGCUUUAUAAUGAAUUGCUACUGUGCAUCUCUUUCCACUUCCAUGUUCUGUGAAGUUGGAUCAGUAGCUUGAAAUCUAUGAUAGUGGGAGUAUUUACACCAUGGAAAUUGGCGAAUGCUAUAUAUGAGCCCCCCAUCAUAAGGAGAUCCAGUUGUUUACCAGCACACCAUUGCAUAGACGCUGACUUAGGCCUUGGGUCUAUAUUCUGAUAAAAUAGUAGAUCAGCUGAAAAAGCUUGAGAAACAAGUAUUGUCAGCUGUGCUCAGGUUUGAUCUGGGACUUAAACUAUCAAAGAGUGAUGAGAACAAAUCCAGUCUUCCACAGUUCCAUAGAGGAGGGAGACUCCCAGAGAGGGUGAUACCAGUGAGACCUGUCAUGUCUUCCUAGAGUUGGGGUGAGAGACUAAACAAAUAGCUACUCACCUCCAUACCUUUGUUAUCCUUUGCCGCUAUUAAAUAACAGUGCUGAACCAGGAACCUCUGAGCAGGUUUCCACUUAAUAACUCCUAUUCCUAUAAAAUACCCUGAAGUA